GCACCAUUAGCUCAGAUGGAUAGAGCACAAGCCUCCGACGCUUGGUGUCGACGGUUCGAGUCCGCCAUGGUGCGCCA
rnacentral:tRNA from 1 species